CGGAGAAGGCUAGGCCAGCUUGGCGAUAGCUGGUUCUCCUCGAAAGCUAUUUAGGUAGCGCCUCGUGUAUCACUGCUGGGGGUAGAGCACUGCAUGGAUGAUGGGGGCCCACAGCCUUACUGAGUCUAAGCAAACUCCGAAUACCGGGAAGAACUGAUCGGGAGACACACGGCGGGUGCUAACGUCCGUCGUGGAGAGGGAAACAACCCUGACCAACAGCUAAGGCCCCCAAUUCGUGGCUAAGUGGGAAAGCAUGUGAGACUUCCAAAACAACCAGGAGGUUGGCUUAGAAGCAGCCAUCUUUUAAAGAUAGCGUAACAGCUCACUGGUCUAAUCAAGAGGUCUUCGCGGCGAAGAUGUAA
rnacentral:rRNA from 1 species